UACGGAGGGUGCGAGCGUUGUCCGGAAUCACUGGGCGUAAAGGGCGCGUAGGCGGCGCGGAUAGUCGGCGGUGAAAGCCCGGAGCUCAACUCCGGGUCGGCCGUCGAUACUUCCGGGCUUGAGCACUGUAGAGGCAGAUGGAAUUCCGGGUGUAGCGGUGGAAUGCGUAGAGAUCCGGAAGAACACCGGUGGCGAAGGCGGCCCGCUGGGCAACUGCUGACACUGAGGCGCGACAGCGUGGGGAGCAAACAGG
rnacentral:rRNA from 1 species